UACGGGGGGGGCAAGCGUUGUUCGGAAUUACUGGGCGUAAAGGGCUCGUAGGCGGCCAACUAAGUCAGACGUGAAAUCCCCAGGCUCAACCUGGGAACUGCGUCUGAUACUGGAUGGCUUGAAUCCGGGAGAGGGAUGUGGAAUUCCAGGUGUAGCGGUGAAAUGCGUAGAUAUCUGGAGGAACACCGGUGGCGAAGGCGGCAUCCUGGACCGGUAUUGACGCUGAGGCGCGAAAGCUAGGGGAGCAAACGGG
rnacentral:rRNA from 1 species